rnacentral:rRNA from 1 species
AUGUCGGAGACCACGAACAAGUUGCAGAACUUGCUCGAGUCCGUAAUCCGCCGCCUCGAUGCAAAUCAGAAGACCGCCCACGAGUGUCACCAAGCUCAGAUCGCCUACAACGACCAGGUCUCGGCCGAGAUCAAGCUCCUCUCCAAGCAGAUCGACCUCACACAAGCCGACAUGGACGAGGCCCGCAAGGCUGCGCCGACCGUCGACCCCGCAGCGACCAUCUCCGGAGGCGCGUCUCCAUGGGGCGUCACGGCAACCGCGGACUCCUUCGCGCACCGCCCACCGCCUCCGCCACCGCCACCACCGAUUCGUCCUCCUCCGCUGCCACUCUACACGGAUGGCGCGGCCCAGCUGUCGUUCGCCCGCCUCGUCAACCACGGACCACCGUUGCUCACCGCGCGGUCACCCUCGUCCUCGGAGAUCGAUUGCCACGGCGACCACUACAUCAAGCCGCCCAAACAUGAUUUUCCGCGGUUUGACGGCAACGCCCCUCGCAUCUGGCUGGACCGCUGCACCACCUACUUCGAGCUGUACCGCGUGCCGCAACACAGCUGGGUCACCACCGCGGCGCUGUACAUGGACGGCCUGGCCGCGAUGUGGCUCCAGGCCUAUCGACAGACACACCCAGGGGUCAAUUGGCAAGCAUUCAGAGCUGCAGUACAGGAGGAAUUCGGUCCAGAGGAAUUCGAGGUUCAGAUGCACCACUUUGUUCAGUUACGAUAUACGGGCAGUGUUCAGGAAUAUCGCCAGCAAUUCGAGACAGCGAUGUACCAUUUGGUGGCCUUGGACCCAACGCUGAGCUCCAAAUUCUUCAUAUCUCAGUUCCUGAUCGGUCUCAAAGACGAGCUGCGACUGGGAGUUCGACUGCAAGCACCAACCAGCAUCACUCGCGCCGCCGUGUUCGCCCGCAUUUAG